rfam:Pterocles gutturalis contig77471, whole genome shotgun sequence.
UAUUGGUGGUGUCGAGGCACACCUUUCUGGUCGUCCAUCCCUGGCAUCACAGGGAUGACUGGCUUGUGGCGGCCAAGCGUUCAUAGCGACGUCGCUUUUUGAUCCUUGGAUGUUGGCUCUUCCUAUCAUUGUGAAGCAGAAUUCACCAAGCGUUGGAUUGUUCACCCACCAACAGGGAACGUGAGCUGGGAUUAGACCGUUGUGAGGCAGGUUGGUUUUACCCUACUGAUG